GGUUGUUGUAUAGAGUCUGGCCUGCCCACUGAUAAAGUUAAAGGGCCGCGGUAUUCUGACCGUGCGAAGGUAGCAUAAUCAUUAGUCUUUUAAUUGGAGGCUUGUAUGAAUGGUCGGACAAAAAGCAAGCUGUCUCAAUUAUAUUAUUUGAAUUUAACUUUUAAGUGAAAAGGCUUAAAUAAACUAAAGGGACGAUAAGACCCUAUAAAGCUUUACAAUUAUUUAAUUAAAUUAUAAAUUGUUGGUUUAACUUGAUUUAAUUAAUAUUUGUUUCGUUGGGGCGACGAGAAUAAAAUUAAGGUAACUGUUCUUUUAUAGGUAGUCACAAAUUUGUUUGGGUAAAAAUUGAUCCUUUAUUAAAGAUCAAAAGAUUAAGUUACUUUAGGGAUAACAGCGUAAUCUUCUUUGAGA
rnacentral:rRNA from 1 species